UGGUCCUCUGAUUAUGGAUGGGACUGAGUCGUUGGGUCGAUGUGUACACCAGGGCGGACACAUGAUCAAGUUAGUGCCUUGCUAUGUGUCCUACUCUACAUCCUUAUUCGCAUCGUCAUCGAAUCCCUUUCACUGUUUUCUGCCACGUCCCCAUUCACCGCUUCAUCUUACCUUUUCACCGACUUAUUCUCUGUCUCUCAUCUUCCUAUUCGUCUGCUACUGCUUCUCUUCCCCAAAACUUCGUCGAUAUCUCCUCUUCGGUAUCGAUGUCCACCACUGCAGAAGAACCCGACGAACAGCCAUCAGACGUGUUUUAUAUAGAGGCGAUUUUGAUUUUUCCCACCCACCUCCACUGAGUCUGUUGAAAACUCUUCGCCCGCUUCCAACUUUCUGCUGCCCUUGCUGAAAAACUGUCACCGAUGAUUUCCUCCCCCUAUUCUACUUCUCAUCAUCUUCCAUUUACCCGCCAUGGACCGACCGUCUGUGACAGUGGUCGUCGGCGCCGCCCUAGGCGGAGACCACCUCAUCACACGGAAGGAGGAAGCCCCCAACCAGCAACGGAACUUGACCGUUGUCAAGUCGAUUAUAAAGAUUCAAUAUGUGGCGGCGGUGGUAAUGUAUGCCUAAAAUAACCAUCGACCAAGAAUGGGUCGUCGACGCUGAAAGUCCCGGUUCAUGCCUUCAACAUCUGCAGCUGUUUUCCACAUGGAAUCCGUCUGCCAUCGCUAUGUAAUUUGUGUUUGGUUUGACAUUUCUAAGAUCGUUUGUUUCUUAUUCACACCGAAUUGACUGAGUUUGUAGAUUGUAUGUUCCUACUUGAGUUUUCGUUUUCUCUCUAUAUCACCGUUUCUCCAUCUGGUAGGUAACACUGCAAUGCCCUGUGCCCACCAACUGUUUGAUAAAAAUCCUGUUAUUGUUGAUCUUCCCUUUUCAUUUUUUCUUUGUUUUAUAACGCAUAUUUGUGAUGGAUUAGUUUAAAAGCUGAAUUUCUGUGAAAGGAACACUAAACUCUAUCUCCUUAACCUAUUUUUGUACAGAAGCUGCCAAUUUGUUGAAGAAUCUGUCACUGGGUUCUCAAUCAAAGACAUUUUUUUGGAUUGUUGAAAGAAAUGUUACUCAAUCUACUGUUAAUCGCCAUUAUACAGUCAAUGUUGCUCAGUUAUUCUUUCAUACCCUCUUAUGUCACCCCCUGAAAUUCGCAGUCCUCUAACAUGUUAUGGGAGAGACAGAGAGAAUUCCUUGCAAUGACAUAAGGAAAUGGUGAAGCUAUAAAUGGUUAGUAUAAUGAUAUAAGUGGUUUUAUUUAUUUUCUCCUUACAUCAGUUUAUUUAUCUAAUAAAGGGAUGUUAAGAUACAGAGGCUACCCAAUUGAAGACUUGGGUCAAGUAGUUAUUUCCUAGAUAUAGCCUAUCUUUAAGUAAGUUCUCUUUCCCAUCUCUUUAGCAUGAAAUGAUAAACUAAGGAUGAUUGUAUUAAGAACUAUUGAAACAAAGAGGAAAGAUACGUUGGGUACGAAAAAUAAUUAACGACGCAAGAUUUUUAUAAAUCAAUAACAAGAUUUAAAAUUUUGGAAAAAAAAUUCAAUUUAAAUUUAACAUGGGUCUAAAACUUUCAUUUUUUUUCUUAAUCAAGAUGAUUAGGUUUAUUCACUGUAUUUACCCCAAACCAAAAACUAUAGUUAAGUGCAAAUUAUACACUGUAUGGACCAAAAAUGUAAUUAUUGAAAUUAAAAACUACAGGGACCAAAAAUGCUAUUAGGCCAUUUUCUGAUAUUUAAAAGGAUACUAUAAUUUUAUUUUUGGGAUUAUAGUAAAUUCAGUUUUAAGGUUACUUGAUUUGUGAAUUUACAAGUUUGUGGGUUGCCAAAUGAGAAAGAAGCUGUUUAUGGAGCACUUGAUUAAUGGACGGCUUAGGAGUCAAAAUUCCCAGUCAUAGCAGCAGCCAAAGCUCUUAAUAUCCUAAAAUGUCGGAAACAAUGGAACCGUGCCAUUCAAGUAUUAAUAUCCUAAUUUACACUUUUGGUCCCUGUAGUGUGCUAUAUAGAUUUUCUUGGAUAUAUUUCAAAAACGAAUCUUCAUUAACUAUAUGAUCACAUUGAAAUAGGAACCAAGAGGAAAAAAGACGAUAUACCACAGGGACCAAAAGAUAUAAUUCCUGUUGACAUAUUCCAUUGAUUUUACAGGUGGCAAAAUGGAUGUGUAGGAAAGGUCAAGGAAUGACAAUGGGAACAUUUGACACCCUCCUACACGCAUUUGAUAUGGAGCAAAGAGUAGAUGAAGCCGAGUCAUUUUGGAACAUGAUUUUCCAUACACAUGAAAGAUCAAUCUCAAAAAGGUUGUUUUCAAGAAUGAUAUCCAUUUAUGCUCAUCAUAGCAUGCCACAAAAUAUCAUAGAGAUAUUGGAGCUUUCAUCUUCACAAAGCCCUGUUUAGUUCAUCUGUUUAUGUGUAUCCGAAGGUUGAACCUAUUUGUAUUUAGGUCAAACGCAAGAACUGCGAAAAGGAUGGUUAUUCAUGUUGGAGGUGGUAUGUUGUCCCUUAUAGUGCUCCUUCUUCCUUUGAACGAAAAUUUAAACAAGAGCUUCCACUUUUACAUGAUUAUCUUCAAACAGCUUACAGCUCCAACUAACAAGACAUUCACAGAACCUAUGGACGAAUGAUGUGUUGACAUCUGGCUUUUCACAUUGCUGUAACAAGAAAGCUAAAAUAGAGCAAUGUAUUUUCAUUUGAAUGUUUAGCUUUAUGUAAUUUGGAUCCUUUUUUUUCUGCAAAGGGCAAUGUCCUUUAUUUUUAUUAUUUUAAGCAUCAAAAUUGUAAAAGGGCGAAUUGCAGAGAAUAACAACAUACUUAACUGUGGCUACCAAUUAAGACAAUCUACUAUACAUGUAUACAAAAAUGACACCUUCCAACCCCCGCAACGCGGGGGAACGCAUCUAGUUAUUAUUAUUAUUAUUAUUAUUAUUA